rnacentral:rRNA from 1 species
GACGAACGCUGGCGGCGUGCCUAAUACAUGCAAGUCGAGCGGAAUGAUGAAGAAGCUUUGCUUCUUCUGAUUUUAGCGGCGGACGGGUGAGUAACACGUGGGCAACCUACCUUGUAGAUUGGGAUAACUCCGGGAAACCGGGGCUAAUACCGAAUAAUCCAUUUUGCUUCAUGGCGAGAUGUUGAAAGACGGUUUCGGCUGUCACUACAAGAUGGGCCCGCGGCGCAUUAGCUAGUUGGUAGGGUAAUGGCCUACCAAGGCGACGAUGCGUAGCCGACCUGAGAGGGUGAUCGGCCACACUGGGACUGAGACACGGCCCAGACUCCUACGGGAGGCAGCAGUAGGGAAUCUUCCACAAUGGACGAAAGUCUGAUGGAGCAACGCCGCGUGAGUGAAGAAGGUUUUCGGAUCGUAAAACUCUGUUGUAAGGGAAGAACACGUACGAGAGUAACUGCUCGUACCUUGACGGUACCUUAUUAGAAAGCCACGGCUAACUACGUG